UGCCAGCCGCCGCGGUAAUACGAAGGGAGCAAGCGUUGUUCGGAAUUACUGGGCGUAAAGGGCGUGUAGGCGGACUGUCCAGUCAGGGGUGAAAUCCCGGGGCUCAACCUCGGAACUGCCUUUGAUACUGACAGUCUAGAGUCUGCGAGAGGAUAGUGGAAUACCCAGUGUAGAGGUGAAAUUCGUAGAUAUUGGGUAGAACACCAGUGGCGAAGGCGACUAUCUGGAGCAGUACUGACGCUGAGGCGCGAAAGCGUGGGGAGCAAACAGGAUUAGAUA
rnacentral:rRNA from 1 species